rnacentral:hammerhead_ribozyme from 12 species
AUUCAGUCAGGAGUUUUUUCUGCUGAUGAGUUCCUGGUCUUGCUAACUUCAAAGAACGAAGCUGCAG